GUUGUGGCUCAGUGGUAGAGUGCUUGCCUUGCAUGUGUGGAACAUUGGGUUCGAUCCUCAGCACCACA
rnacentral:tRNA from 1 species